UACGGAGGAUGCGAGCGUUAUCCGGAUUUAUUGGGUUUACAGGGUGCGCAGGCGGAUUUUUAAGUCAGCGGUCAAAUCGUGGGGCUCAACCCCAUCCAGCCGUUGAAACUGGGGAUCUAGAGUGUGCGAGAGGUAUGCGGAAUAAGUUAAGUAGCGGUGAAAUGCUUAGAUAUAACUUAGAACCCCGAUAGCGAAGGCAGCUUACCAGACUGUUACUGACGCUGAAGCACGAGAGCGUGGGUAGCGAACAGG
rnacentral:rRNA from 1 species